GCCUGGGUGGCUCAGUCAGUUAAGUGUCUGACUUCAGCUCAGGUCACUAUCUCAUGGUUUGUGGGUUUGAGCCCACAUCGGGCU
rnacentral:tRNA from 1 species